AGAGAUGUAGUUCUGUGGUAGAGCAUCAGAUUUGCAUGCAGAAGGCCUAGGGUUCAACUCCCAGCAUGUCCA